rnacentral:rRNA from 1 species
AUUGAACGCUGGCGGCAUGCCUUACACAUGCAAGUCGAACGGUAACUGGUCUUCGGAUGCUGACGAGUGGCGAACGGGUGAGUAAUACAUCGGAACGUGCCUAGUAGUGGGGGAUAACUACUCGAAAGAGUGGCUAAUACCGCAUGAGAUCUACGGAUGAAAGCAGGGGAUCGCAAGACCUUGUGCUACUAGAGCGGCCGAUGGCAGAUUAGGUAGUUGGUGGGAUAAAAGCUUACCAAGCCGACGAUCUGUAGCUGGUCUGAGAGGACGAUCGGCCACACUGGGACUGAGACACGGCCCAGACUCCUACGGGAGGCAGCAGUGGGGCAUUUUGGACAAUGGGCGCAAGCCUGAUCCAGCAAUGCCGCGUGCAGGAUGAAGGCCUUCGGGUUGUAAACUGCUUUUGUACGGAACGAAAAGCCCUGGGUUAAUACCCUGGGGUCAUGACGGUACCGUAAGAAUAAGCACCGGCUAACUACGUGCCAGCCGCCGCGGUAA